AGAUUUCUGCCAUUUAUUAUAACAGAACCAGAUUCAGUGUUCCUCGGUUGGCUAUAUCAUGUUUUGCUGGAUAGUUAAAUUUUUCAAAGAGUUUGGCCUCAGGAUCAUCUUACCUUGCUUUUGAGGUAGAAGAUUGAGGCAUAUUCUUUUGAGAAGUAUCUUUAUCUUGGGAAGCAGUACUGGCAACAGGAAAGGUUGUGCCCUCUUGGUCUUCCUUCACUGCAGAUUUUGGACCUGAGCCAUGAAAAUUAACACAGUGCAUAUUGAGAUAUAGAUUGUCAACUAUGCAUGUAAGAAAAGUAUGAUAGCUAGUACAACAGCAUCAGGCAUGUUGACCUUCCACAGCAAUGUACUGCGCCUAAAAAAAGAACAAAGUACAAUAUGCUUGAGAUUUUAUAUAUCAUUUAUAUUUUCUAGAUAUGCGUUUUGAAUACAAUGUAUGUGACUCGGGAUCUUUUUCUUCCAAUACAAGAAAAUUAGAGUCAAAAUUA